GCAACCAGAGUGUUAGCUUUGGCAGCACAUAGAGAGAUACAGAGAAGAUUAGCAUGGCCCCUGUGCAAGGAUGACAUGCAGGUUCAUGAAGCAACAAGAGAAAAUAUUU